UACGAAGGGGGCUAGCGUUGCUCGGAAUUACUGGGCGUAAAGCGUGCGCAGGCGGUUUUGUAAGCCAGAUGUGAAAUCCCCGGGCUUAACCUGGGAAUGGCAUUUGGGACUGCAAGGCUGGAGUUUGGCAGAGGAGACUGGAAUUCCCGGUGUAGCGGUGAAAUGCGCAGAUAUCGGGAGGAACACCGGUGGCGAAGGCGGUUCUCUGGGCCUGUACUGACGCUGAGGAGCGAAAGCGUGGGGAGCGAACAGG
rnacentral:rRNA from 1 species